rnacentral:rRNA from 1 species
AGAAUGAACGCUGGCGGCAUGCCUAACACAUGCAAGUCGAACGAAGCCUUCGGGCUUAGUGGCGCACGGGUGCGUAACGCGUGGGAAUCUGCCCUUGGGUUCGGAAUAACUCAGAGAAAUUUGAGCUAAUACCGGAUGAUGACGUAAGUCCAAAGAUUUAUCGCCCAGGGAUGAGCCCGCGUAGGAUUAGCUAGUUGGUGAGGUAAAGGCUCACCAAGGCGACGAUCCUUAGCUGGUCUGAGAGGAUGAUCAGCCACACUGGGACUGAGACACGGCCCAGACUCCUACGGGAGGCAGCAGUGGGGAAUAUUGGACAAUGGGCGAAAGCCUGAUCCAGCAAUGCCGCGUGAGUGAUGAAGGCCCUAGGGUUGUAAAGCUCUUUACCGGGAUGAUAAUGACAGUACCGGAGAAUAAGCUCCGGCUAACUCCGUGGCGAAGCAGCCGCGGU